rnacentral:sRNA from 1 species
AUGAUGUCUUAAAACAUUAUGUCUCCUACCAGUUACUGCAUCAGUGUAGAAUUAGUACGUCUUAGCCCUGUAAUGCUGGUUUCACUCCUUCCUGCAGAGUUAGAAAAAACGAAGUAGCUGGCCUGCUGCUGUGGGUCUGCAGGCUGCUCUCUCUGCUGUGAUUGCUGCCCCAGGAUUCGGCAGUCCCUCAGCACCCGCUUCAUGUACGCCCUCUACUUCAUUCUGGUCGUCGUCCUCUGCUGCAUCAUGAUGUCAACAACCGUGGCUCACAAGAUGAAAGAGCACAUUCCUUUUUUUGAAGAUAUGUGUAAAGGCAUUAAAGCUGGUGACACCUGUGAGAAGCUGGUGGGAUAUUCUGCCGUGUAUAGAGUCUGUUUUGGAAUGGCUUGUUUCUUCUUUAUCUUCUGUCUACUGACCUUGAAAAUCAACAACAGCAAAAGUUGUAGAGCUCAUAUUCACAAUGGCUUUUGGUUCUUUAAACUUCUGCUGUUGGGGGCCAUGUGCUCAGGAGCUUUCUUCAUUCCAGAUCAGGACACCUUUCUGAACG